CCCGCUGUAAGUGAGCUACGCCUACGCUAUUUUUAAUAUAGCUUUUAUUUAAUUAUAGUAACGUUAUUAGGAACUUAUAAUAAAUACUUGGGCUAUUAUUAUGGGUUAUAUAAGUAUUUUUUUGACGCUUAUAUAAUAAUAAUAAUAAUAGCUAGACUAUUAAUUAGUCUCGACGAAUAAUAAACUAAACUCUAGUGGUAAUAAUACUAGGUUUCGUCGAAGAAAAUUCUUUUUAAGAAGCGAAGCGCUGUCUGAGUUCGGAAUCACCACCUUUUCAGGUAGUGGCGCUUGAGCAUAUAUAUGAUGUUUGGACGAGGGAUUACGGAUAUAGGCCUGUAGAUAUGAAAUAAUGUAGUAAGGCUUGUAUUGUACUGUUUAUGCUUUUGAUCUGUACGAACAUGACAUCCCGAGUCUUUUAAUGAAAUACAUUUCUAUGGAAA